rnacentral:rRNA from 1 species
CCUACGGGAGGCAGCAGUGAGGAAUAUUGGUCAAUGGGCGGAAGCCUGAACCAGCCAAGUCGCGUGAGGGAUUAAGGCCCUGCGGGUCGUAAACCUCUUUUGCCGGGGAGCAGAGGUCCGGAUGUGUCCGGGCCGGGAGAGUACCCGGAGAAAAAGCAUCGGCUAACUCCGUGCCAGCAGCCGCGGUAAAACGGAGGAUGCGAGCGUUAUCCGGAUUUAUUGGGUUUCAAGGGUGCGUAGGCGGGCAUUUAAGCCGGCGGUCAAAUGUCGGGGCUCAACCCCGGCCUGCCGUCGGAACUGGGUGCCUUGAGUGGGCGAGAAGUAUGCGGAAUGCGUGGUGUAGCGGUGAAAUGCAUAGAUAUCACGCAGAACCCCGAUUGCGAAGGCAGCAUACCGGCGCCCUACUGACGCUGAGGCACGAAAGUGCGGGUAUCGAACAGGAUUAGAUACCCCAGUAGUC